UUGAGUAAAAAAUCCCAACAUACCAAAAAUACAAUACAGCUUGAGAACAAUAUUAUAAAAAUAUAAUUUUUCAACAAUGCUUGAGAAACACUUAUGUUCCACAAACAUUUCUCAAGUCUGUCCCUUGUUGACAAAUUAGUUUUGAUUUUUUGUGAAAAUUGUCAGCAAGAAAUUAUUUUCUUUGGCAAAAAACAAAAUCACGCGAAUUUAGGACCCAUUUGUGGACCGAACCCUUAAGAUUGGAAGCAUCAAAAAAGUUGCAGGAAUUCAAUAAAUGUGUAGUCUUAGUGGAAGAGAUGCAGAAGUUCAAAUAAGGGAGAAGAAAGCGUCAGGGUAUCAAGGCCACAUGCGGCAGUGACUACUGGGAUGUCCAUCAAGAAAAAACGUUAAAAAUGAUUAAAAACUAAAAAAAAUAAUAUUUUAUACUAUUACAAAAAUAAGCUUAUUAUAAUA